GCAGCAGCAGCUGCAGCUAAUUACCAUCAGCCUGGCCAGAGGAUUUAAGGAGCGGUGCUGCCACACCUCAACGCCGGUUGAUACUCUACUGUUGGGUACAUCUAGCCACGUCCUCAUCUGUGCCUUGACUCGAAGACUCGUUUACCUGAACUAACCCAGCUCUACAUUCUUGUCUGUACCAGCCCUGGAUUCCCUCCACCCGCCUGAGGUGUGAUUUAUCACAGCGUCGUUCAGCUUCCCUGGCCUCCUGCUCUCCACCGCUCACCUGCCUUCCUGGAUCCAGCAUCUCCUCCAGCGACCAUCUCCUCCCUGCAUCAACCUGACUUGCCUCUCCCUCCUGCCCCUCGUCCUGCUCAACUCAAGUCGGAGUUGCCUCGUUUCCUGUCCCGUUUGGAUCAGCGCCCUCAGUUUUCGCUUUGUUUUCUUUAUAAAAUAAAGAUUUUAUUAUCUCUUACCUUA